UACGUAGGGGGCAAGCGUUGUCCGGAAUCAUUGGGCGUAAAGAGCGUGUCGGCGGCUUGGCAAGUCUCGCGUGAAAUCCUGCGGCUCAACCGCAGGCGGUCGCGGGAAACUGCCUCGCUAGAGUCCGGAAGAGGAGAGUGGAAUUCCUGGUGUAGCGGUGGAAUGCGCAGAUAUCAGGAAGAACACCCGUGGCGAAGGCGGCUCUCUGGGACGGUACUGACGCUGAGACGCGAAAGCGUGGGGAGCGAACAGG
rnacentral:rRNA from 1 species